CGCAGCAAUAACACCCAGAGCUAACAGCAAAAGUGUAACAUCCAUGAUCCAGCGUCACCCAGUUUGUUCGCUGAGUUCUGGUACCCGUACCUCGGAACUGCAAAAGAUAACGCGAUGAUCAGUUUACUUAUAUAUGCACGAGAUUGCUUGGACGGCCUCCUUGUCUUGAAGUCGCACGUGCUACAGCUCCGACAACCGCAACCUACCGCUAUAGGGAUACGCGAGUGCCACAACAACGAUCAUUUAUACCUAUGUGCAACGUGUCACGAUCAAUAUUACAUCCAGAACCGCGUAAAACGCCCCGAUGAAUCUUUCAUGCUCGAAUGUCACAUCGUCGCUUUCCUCGCACGCAAUUAUAUAUAACAAAAACCUACGAGUUAAUGUUUUAAAAGAUAAAUUCCAUGACCAUUUUAAGUUAUUAUUAAAUAUCGAAACCAGAUAAGAUAUUACUAUAGUAUAACUAUGCAAAAUUCGAUGCAUUUUGAUGUUCCACUACCACAACCCUUUAUAUCCCUUUAUAUCACAAUUACAAUCGCGACGAUCAAUAUAUCCUAUGUUUUACUAAUCCACGAUCCAGCCGAGACAGUAUAUAAAAAUAUCACAAUCUUUUGAUCCAAUCCCAAUCCAGUUCCCUCAUAUAUAUUUUGUACGAAAUACCAAGUGAUUUUAACAAAAUCGCAGGAACUUUAUUCAGGAUUUCUUCUGUUAAAAUGAAAUUGCACGUGGUGCACGAGAAUAAAUAAGUACCUUACUCGUUUCAAGGGGUACGAGAAGCACCACGGUUGA